AUUGAACGCUGGCGGCAGGCCUAACACAUGCAAGUCGAACGAGUGGCGGACGGGUGAGUAAUGUAUGGGAAAAUGCCUGAUGGAGGGGGAUAACUACUGGAAACGGUAGCUAAUACCGCAUACCAUCAGAUGUGCCCAGAUGGGAUUUGCUAGUUGGUGGGGUAACGGAUUACCAAGGCGACGAUCCCGAGCUGGUCUGAGAGGAUGACCCGCCACACUGGAACUGAGAAACGGUCCAGACGCCUACUGGAGGCAGCAGUGUGGAAUAUUGCACAAUGGGUGCAAGCCUGAUGCAGCGAUGCCGCGUGUAUGAAGAAGUCCUUCGGGUUGUAAAGUACUUUCAGCGGGGAGGCGUUACCCGCAGAAGAAGCACCGGCUAACUCCGUGCCAGCAGCCGCGGUAAUAC
rnacentral:rRNA from 1 species